GACAGAGGGGGCAAGCGUUGCUCGGAAUUACUGGGCGUAAAGGGCGCGUAGGCGGGAUGGCAAGUCGGUCGUGAAAUCCUUCGGCUCAACCGAAGAACGUCGAUCGAUACUGCUGUUCUUGAGGGUUGCAGAGGAGACUGGAAUUCCCGGUGUAGCGGUGAAAUGUGUAGAGAUCGGGAGGAACGACCGGUGGCGAAGGGCGGGUCUCUGGGCAAUUCC
rnacentral:rRNA from 1 species